AUUGAACGCUGGCGGCAGGCUUAACACAUGCAAGUCGAGCGAGCGGCGGACGGGUGAGUAAUGUCUGGGAAACUGCCUGAUGGAGGGGGCUAAAUACUGGAAACGGUAGCUAAUAACGCAUACAGUAAGAUGUGCCAAGAUGGGAUUAGCUAGUAGGUGGGGUAAUGGCUCACCUAGGCGACGAGCCCUAGCUGGUAUGAGAGGAUGACCAGCCACACUGGAACUGAGACACGGUCCAGACUCCUACGGGAGGCAGCAGUGGGGAAUAUUGCACAAUGGGCGCAAGCCUGAUGCAGCCAUGCCGCGUGUGUGAAGAAGGCCUUCGGGUUGUAAAGCACUUUCAGCGAGGAGGCGUUAUUCGCAGAAGAAGCACCGGCUAACUCCGUGCCAGCAGCCGCGGUAAUUC
rnacentral:rRNA from 1 species